UUGAAACACCUGUUCUCGUGCGAUCAUCGAAGUUAAGCAACGUUGAGCUUAGGCGGUACCUAGAUGGGUGACUGCUUGAAU